AUUGAACGCUGGCGGCAUGCCUUACACAUGCAAGUCGAACGGCAGCACGGGAGCAAUCCUGGUGGCGAGUGGCGAACGGGUGAGUAAUAUAUCGGAACGUGCCCAGUCGUGGGGGAUAACGUAGCGAAAGCUACGCUAAUACCGCAUACGAUCUAUGGAUGAAAGCGGGGGAUCGCAAGACCUCGCGCGAUUGGAGCGGCCGAUAUCGGAUUAGGUAGUUGGUGAGGUAAAGGCUAACCAAGCCGACGAUCUGUAGCUGGUCUGAGAGGACGACCAGCCACACUGGGACUGAGACACGGCCCAGACUCCUACGGGAGGCAGCAGUGGGGAAUUUUGGACAAUGGGCGCAAGCCUGAUCCAGCAAUGCCGCGUGCAGGAUGAAGGCCUUCGGGUUGUAAACUGCUUUUGUACGGAACGAAGCGGCGAGCUCUAAUACAGUUUGCUAAUGACGGUACCGUAAGAAUAAGCACCGGCUAACUACGUGCCAGCAGCCGCGGUAA
rnacentral:rRNA from 1 species